UGGGAAUCUUGUACUUUUCUUUUUCUUGGUUUGUUUUUGAGACGGAGUCUCACUCUGUUGCCCACGCUGGGAGUGCAGUGGUGCAAUCUUGGCUCACUGCAACCUCCGCCUCCCGGGUUCAAGCGAUUCUCCUGCCUCAGCCUCUCAAGUAUCUAGGAUUACAGGUGUGCACCACCAUGCCUGGCUAAUUUUUGUAUUUUUAGUAGAGAUGGGGUUUCGCCAUGAUGGCCAGGUCGGCCUUGAACUCCUGACCUCAAGUGAUCCGCCCACCUCAGCCUCCCAAAGUGCUGGGAUUACAGGCAUGAGCCAUUGCGUCUGGCCUUGUAUUUUUAUUUCUAAGUCUGGUGACUCUACCUUGGUCCUAUCCCCUGGCCCACCCCUCAGUCCCUGCUGCUAAAAUGUCCCACAGAGGCUGCCGGUGCCCAGUGGGCGCCCUCCCAAGCUUUGAGUGUCUCUGUGAAUCUGUGUGCUCCUGAUCUUGCAGGCUCUGUUUCUCUCACUUCUGUCUGCUUGAGUCUCGCCCUCCUGUCCCCUGCUGUCUACCUCAGACAGUCCCUCCUCAGCCUCCCUCUGCGUUCCCUGCUGUCCUGCAAGGUGACGCUGAGCAACAUGACUAGUACACCUGGUGCUGAGGACUCAGGCUCCCCAAAGGGCCAGCCUGCACAGCCAAAGGGGGUCCCCUGAGGGUGAGAGGAGCGUAGGGGACUGGUCCCUGCUUCCCUGGAUAUGGGGAAAACCCAGGACUCCAAACUCCAGCCCCUCCCACUCCAGCCACCUGGGAGAGCCCGCUUCACCUGGGAACAGGUUCUACCAUCCAGAAGGCAAUCAGGCACGUGCCCUAAAGGGGUAAGCCCUGUCCCUUCUGUCCUGGGAGAGGGGCAGGCAGCAGGAACAGCCGGUCCAUGGCUGGGCUCCCAGGUCCCACCUGCCUGUGGCAGAGCUGACGAGGGCUGGGAACAGAGGGCUUCACCAGACCUGUCCCACCCACGGCCCUCAGCUAAGCAACAGAAGUGAGCUCCCUCUUCCCUGAUGACCCAGGAAAGGGGCUAGGACCUGGCACCACUGGGACAAGCCUGGGAGACCAGCACUGUGCUGGCUUCCUGGCUCAUGUGACUUUAUUUUUAUUUUAUUUUAUUAUUAUUUUUCUUGGGACGGAGUCUCGCUCUGUCGCCCAGGCUAGAGUGCAGUGGUGUGAUCUCGAUUCACUGCAACCUUUGCCUCCCAGGUUCAAGUGAUUCUCCUGCCUCAGCCUCCAGAGUAGCUGGGAUUACAGGCACCUGCCACCACACCCAGCCAGUUUUUUGUAUUUUUAAUAGAGACGGGGUUUCACCAUGUUGGCCAGGCUGGUCUUGAACUCCUGACUUCAGGCGAUCUGCCCGCCUCAGCCUCCCAAAGUGCUGGGAUUACAGGCAUGAGCCACCAUGCCCAGACUUGUGUGACUUUAAACAAGUUACCUAAGCUCUGUGAGCCUCAGUUUCCUCACCUGCAAUAUGGGGCUAGAAACAUACCUACCUCAUGAGCAUGAUGGGCUUCAAUUCAAUCAUCUAGGUCAAGCUCUUAGCACAGUGCACAGAAAUGGGACACCCUUGAGGCAUAUUUCUUCUCUUUGUCUCUGCCGGCCAGGAGCCAAUUCCGUAUCUUAUUACACAAUAAUUAACCAAUGGGGAGGCAGGGAGCGCCCCCUCUACCUCCCAAUCUCAGAGGGUCCUGCAGACCCACUGCAACUCCAGAAGUACCAUGUAUGGGAAGCAGAGAUAAUUUUGCUCUCAGACGAGGCCUGAGGAGGCCUUUCCCUUCUGGGCCUGGGCCCAGGAAACACGGCUGGCCUUAUGGAGAGGAGUCUGGGGAAGGAGACCCUCCCCUGGGGGGAUCACAUUACCUGAGUGAGAGAAGCUGGGGAAAAAGCUGGGGGCGGGGGUGGGAGGGUGUUGGGGGUGGUGCCAGGCCCGCAUGCCUGUGUGCCUUGGGUGUGUGGCCCAGCAGAAUUUGUUGGAUGCUUUGGGAUUUUAUUUUUCUUUUUUCUCUAAUUUCCUUUGAAAACAUAUGUUUGGCCUCCAUUACAGAAGUCCUGCCUAUCGCAGGGAAGCCCACGGCAGACAACGCAAACCCCAGAAAAGCGCUGGCUGCCGUCGGCUGCAGGUUCCUGCAUCUUUUUUCCAAUGUGCACUUCGUUUUAAUAAAAAAUG
rnacentral:lncRNA from 10 species